AGAAAGCAUUUUGUCUGCAACGCAACGACUGCAUGCGCUUAACGGUGACUGUCCGCCAACAUGCAAAGAACCGAUGUACCGGGUCAGCAAGUCUGAAUCAGCCUUCCAAUCUGACAAGUUUAGUCGCAUAUUCUUCCGAGAAACGCUGAAUCACGUCAACGCGUCCGAAGUUCAGCUAACGAUGUUAAACGCGAGAGAGCAGCUUGAAGAACAGAGAGAGCAGGAAGAGACGAAGGAUUUGUUGUUGUUCAUGUUUAUUUUACGGACUUAGACGUCGAAAAGACAGUGGGGGAGGAAGCAUAUACGGUGGUGAGUCUGUUUUCGGAGAUCGGCGGCAUGUUUGGCCUGUGCAUGGGCAUCUCCAUUCUCACCGUCGUCGAGUGCUGCAGUUCUUCUUCAUCUUCCUCGUCCGCAAGACACUCUUGUUUCAAGCUCCGUUUACAACUCUGACAACCCCGUGAGCCAACCUGGCUCAUACCCGUGUUGUCGGAAACGUUGCAGUACUUGCAAUUUUAUCUCGAAUAGGGCUGUGGUUCAAGGGCCGCGGGGCAAAUUUAUAGUGCGGGACUCAUUUACAUGCGUGUCGACGAACCUCAUUUACGCCAUUGCAUGCGUUAAAUGCCAAAUUUACUAUAUUGGCGAAACAAAACGUCGC